GGAAAGUGAAAUUUGUGCAAUGUCUGUAGGAGGCUGAAGAAAGGCCCUUUGUGCGCCCCCCGCGCGGGCGCUGGGCAGCCUCCAGCAGCACCCUCGGCCGCCCCGCGGCUCCUGCCGCCGGCGUCAAUGCACCGCUUGUCCAGAGACCGGGACCCACUCUUAAAGCCGGAGCUGGUCUCCCCUGGUUAGUCCCACCGGUGGCCCCGUCGGGGCGGGCACGGCUCCGGGGGCCCCCCGGCCGCAACCCCAGGAUGUUUCUGUACUGGAGGAAGCGGGGUGCCUACGAGCUGGAGGCUUUGCCGCCCGGCCUGGCGGGGCUGGAGUACGGGGCAGUGGAGCGCUUCUCCUGGAGCUCCAGCCCGGACGUCAGCGAGGAGCUCGGGGGUAGGUGGCUGGGGGGCUUUAGGCAACCGGCAGGCUGUGGCUGAGCGCGGCUGCCCAAAGCCUCCAGCCCUGGCAACGAGGGUGAGGGGUUUGGGAGAAGUUCCUGGGUGCCGCCGGGAUGCCGUGGGAACGCUGCAGGUGCAGCUGGGGAGCGCUCAGCAAACCGCCCCGUGCCACCGGCGCCGCUCCCCCCGGCCCAGGCAGGCGUUUGAAGCAGCCGGCUGCCGCUGCCCUGCGCUCUGCCGCAAGGACGAUCCGGUUUCAAAACUCGUUUGCCGUCACCGGGAGCGCCGGGUGUGAUAGCACAGCCGGCAGCAGGAGAAGGAGGAGGUGACGGGGCGAGGAGAGGAGCUGAUGGGGACAGGAUCUCUCCUGCAACCCCCGAAGUGUCUGGUGGGGACCCGGACACGCUCUUGCCUCUGCCACAAAGCGGGGCUCCCUGCGAGGAGCUGCCAGCCCGAGUGUCCCAGGCCCUGGUGCAUGUGUGACCCGCGGGCAGGGUCGGCUUUGGGGAGCGGCCACGCGGCUCUGGCCGUGCCGGCGGCUGCGGCGUGGGGCUGAUCCCGCCGGCCGCUUCGGCCAGCCUCUAGUUUUUGCCGAGCCGUGCCCAGAAGAGGAGACAGAGCUUCACUGCCAGAAUCCCGACUGCGCCGGAGAGAGGAGGGCGGCCAAGGUGGGUCCUGCGGGGUUGGGGCAGAGCCGGACAGCUGCUGCCUGGGGUCUUGGGGGUGAGAAGGGACAGCGGACAGCUCUGCCCAAAAUGCCGCUCCCCGAAGGGCCCCUGCCCUGCUCGGCAGCCCCUGGUCUGCCGUGCCGGGUGUGCAUUCCCUGCUGGUGUCAGGGUUCUGCUGGCAUUUAACAGCACAGCGUAGUUUACGCGUUUCCCCAAGCUGCCGUGAUUUGGGCCAAUCGACUACAGCCAGUCUGUCCCCCCACUCGCUAAAGUGGAGCCAGGGCGGAUUUAG
rnacentral:lncRNA from 1 species